rnacentral:rRNA from 1 species
AUUGAACGCUAGCGGGAUGCUUUACACAUGCAAGUCGAACGGCAGCACGAAAAGAGCUUGCUCUUUUUGGUGGCGAGUGGCGAACGGGUGAGUAAUGUAUCGGAACGUACCCAGUAGCGGGGGAUAACUACGCGAAAGCGUGGCUAAUACCGCAUACGCCCUACGGGGGAAAGGGGGGGAUCGCAAGACCUCUCACUAUUGGAGCGGCCGAUAUCGGAUUAGCUAGUUGGUGGGGUAAAGGCUCACCAAGGCAACGAUCCGUAGCUGGUUUGAGAGGACGACCAGCCACACUGGGACUGAGACACGGCCCAGACUCCUACGGGAGGCAGCAGUGGGGAAUUUUGGACAAUGGGGGAAACCCUGAUCCAGCCAUCCCGCGUGUGAGAUGAAGGCCUUCGGGUUGUAAAGCACUUUUGGCAGGGAAGAAACGGCGCUGACUAAUACUUGGCGCAACUGACGGUACCUGCAGAAUAAGCACCGGCUAACUACGUG